GCGUUAGACGAACGGUCUGGAAAGUCCGACGAUACAGGGUGAUAGUCCCGUAGUUGACGACGUGUGUUCAGUGAAAUCGAGUAGGGCGGGACACGUGAUAUCCUGUCUGAAUAUGGGGGGGACCAUCCUCCAAGGCUAAAUACUACUGACUGACCGAUAGUGAACCAGUACCGUGAGGGAAAGGCGAAAAGAACCCCUGUGAGGGGAGUGAAAUAGAACCUGAAACCGUGUACGUACAAGCA
rnacentral:rRNA from 1 species